UACGUAGGGUGCAAGCGUUAAUCGGAAUUACUGGGCGUAAAGCGUGCGCAGGCGGUGAUGUAAGACAGGUGUGAAAUCCCCGGGCUUAACCUGGGAACUGCAUUUGUGACUGCAUCGCUGGAGUGCGGCAGAGGGGGAUGGAAUUCCGCGUGUAGCAGUGAAAUGCGUAGAUAUGCGGAGGAACACCGAUGGCGAAGGCAAUCCCCUGGGCCUGCACUGACGCUCAUGCACGAAAGCGUGGGGAGCAAAAGGG
rnacentral:rRNA from 1 species